ACCACUCCCACAAACGUCUACGACCGCGCCUACAUAUUUUUGCAUGUUUAUAAUUCUAAUUUUAAACAGCCAAUCGACGUUUAAUUGUAUUUGUUACCAAGAACCUGAUUGGCUGUUCAAAAUUAGAAUUGUAAACAUGCAAACUAUGUAGGUGCGGUCGUAGACGUUUGUGGGAGUGGU
rnacentral:miRNA from 1 species